GGUGAUUUAAUGCUACCCUGGAGUGUGCACCAGUGUAAGGUGCUGUAAUGCUACCGCUGCUGUUGACACAAUACCAGAAAUGGAACCAUCUCUUCAUAUCUGGUGCUUUGGAACAACAGUAAUCGACCCUAUAAAGCAGAGCUGCAAAACUCACAUCUAGUAGGGGGCCGCCCAACUCUCUGAA